CGUUCGAGGACUACAAAAAACACUCGGAUUGUAGGCAACAGUUUACUUCCUGGGAUUAGUGACGUAGAUAAGACCAACAUUAUCAUAGUUCAGCCCUCUCUGCUUUGCUUGGGUACGCCCUCAAAGACGAGGGUGGGGUGGGGAGCGCCGAGUCAGAAGAGAGCUAAAAUGGCGGAGGUUGGGAGUCCCUGCUUUGACUCUGUUUGCAAACUCUUGUUUCAUUGUUUAAGCGAUUACAUCUCUCGAGUAGACGCUGUCUCUUUAGAUGCGAGGGCAAAAUAGCACUUUAUGGACUUCCACAGAGGACAUCAUGUUUAAUACGGUUCCGGAAAAAUCCAGUCAGAAGUUGUUCACGGAGUUUUCACAAUAACUGCUUCUCAUGAACCGAAGCUGGAUUUGCGCGACGUCUCCUCUUGAAAGUUGGAUUACUGUGCACUUCUGGAUCACAGACUAUUCGCAGCUGUACACAUCCUUCUACACUGUAUGCAAACAUGCAACAUCAUAACACACAGUACAAGGAGUCAGACUGGCAUAUGAGGAGCAAAGGAACCCAGGCAGUAGCAUCGUUUCACAAUGUUUCCAUCACCAUCAUCAGUGGAUGCCUUUGCCGUCCGUAGCCUGAGAUUUCAGAUUUGCAGCAAAAAAAAUUGAUUUUCUCAUUUAUUGGAAUGCUGUGCAGGUAUUUGUACCUUGCAGCCAUCCAUUACAAUGUCACCAAGCCGUAACAAAAGCAGGAGAGGGAAAGUACAAGGCUAUGUUCCCAAAACACAAAUGACAUACCUUAUGUGGAGGAUGUGAUCAGGCUUGUGUUUGAUGAGGUAUUUGAAGAUAAGCUGAAGGAAACCCCGAUUCCAAUGGACCUGGCAUCACAGUUUGAGAGACCUUCAAAGGAGGACGUGAUUGCAUGCCAUCUUCAGUG